GACGAACGCUGGCGGCGUGCUUAACACAUGCAAGUCGAACGGAACUCUUUGGAUCAAGACUUCGGUCAAGUGAGAUUGAGUUUAGUGGCGGACGGGUGAGUAACGCGUGAGGAACCUGCCUUUCAGAGGGGGACAACAGUUGGAAACGACUGCUAAUACCGCAUAACGCGUAGAGAUCGCAUGGUCUUUACGCCAAAGAUUUAUCGCUGAGAGAUGGCCUCGCGUCUGAUUAGCUAGUUGGUGAGGUAACGGCCCACCAAGGCGACGAUCAGUAGCCGGCUUGAGAGAGUGACCGGCCACAUUGGGACUGAGACACGGCCAAACUCCUACGGGAGGCAGCAGUGGGGAAUAUUGCACAAUGGAGGAAACUCUGAUGCAGCGAUGCCGCGUGAGGGAAGAAGGUUUUCGGAUUGUAAACCUCUGUCUUCAGGGACGAUAAUGACGGUACCUGAGGAGGAAGCUCCGGCUAACUACGUGCCAGCAGCCG
rnacentral:rRNA from 1 species